rnacentral:rRNA from 1 species
AUGGGUGUGCUAGACCAGCUCAUAUCCCCGGCCCAGAGCGCUUUUCAGAAGAAGAAGGGCAUCCAUGACAGUUUUCUCUAUGUUCAGAACGUUCUACAGUUGUUUCAGAGGAGAAAGUCGCCGCUGCUCCUACUCAAGAUCGACAUUGCAAAGGCUUUUGACACGGUAUCAUGGGAAUAUAUCCUCGAGCUGCUGCAACGGAUGAAUUUCCUGGCGCGUUGGAGAGAUUGGGUCGCCCUGCUUCUCUCCUCCGCGUCCUCCACCUGCACGCUAAACGGAGACCCAGGCCCUGCGAUCCUUCAUCAGCGGGGGCUGCGGCAAGGGGGCCCCCUUUCACCGACCCUCUUCAUUCUGGCGAUCGACACCCUUCACCGACUAUUAGAAGCAGCUCAGCAUGCCGAGCCCAUCGCCCCCCUGCCGACCGGUGCAGCGCAUCUGCGAGUCACGCUCUACGCGGACGACGCAAUCUUCUUCGCUAACCCGGUGCGCCAGGAGAUAGACACCAUCAUGCAGCUGCUGGACGGGUUUGGAGAGGCGACGGGGCUGCGCAGCAACCCCCAAAAAUUGUCAGCGGCAGCACUCAACUGCGGUAGUAUCGACCUCAUAGACGUCCUUCAAAACUUGGUCUCCCGCUCUGCAUCGGCAGGCUCCGGCUUGUACACAUCCAAUACCUCCUCGGCCGCAUCCGUGCAUGGCUCGCAGCUUGGAAAGGCCGUCUCCUACUGA